CCAGAUGUUAAAUUCUACAAAAGCGCAUGUGUCCUCAGCAGAUCAUGUUUGUCUGAUUAUUAAGAAUUCUUUUUUGUAACAUUAACUCUCUAAAGACAAUCAAUGGACUGACAUCACUGCUACAACACAGGUUGCUAACUGAGCCUCUGAUCUUCAGCCACAUCUUGAUUUUCCUAAUAAUGAGUAAAUACUGCCUGGCUAAAAUGCUGCAAAGUCUUGAUGAGAGAAAGCAUCAACAGAUCAAGCAAAGCCAUGAAAAUUAUGAAGCAAGCUAGAGCUGAUUAUUAGAAUUAGUAAAAAUGAUUAAGAGAGGAUGACACAACCAUACGGGAUUUGUAUAUUCUGAUUGACACUCUUUUGGCAGCGAAUUGGGUCAGCACCUCGGGCAGGGAACCAAAACUGAGUGAAAACUGCUCUUUUUCCUCCUAGCUCAGGCCACCAACGUCACAGCCGGGACUGAGAGAACUGCUGCAUCUGUGGAAACUUCUAUUCUCGUGGGGCAGAGAUUGCACUGUGAAACCCUACCGACACUACCCCGGAAGGGCCUGGCCUCCGAGGUGUCUGCAGCGUGCUGCCUUCGCCGGGGCUUUUCAGAAUGGGCCGGGGCCUCGGGGGUCUUCAUCCCCAAGGAAGCCUCUUGAUUUUUGGCACCGCCUUUGUUUUUGGGCCGGAAGCCGUUGUGCGGCUGUCUUCUGUGUUCGUGGCGGCUGUUGCCCUUUCCCAGUGGCUCGGCUUCAUUCCCACUGCCCUGCGACUUGGCAGGCCCAUUUAGCCUGUUGUUAUGAUACUGUGGAUUAAAUCUCCGUCUUUGGUUAGAAGAUCCAUUCUACCAAAAAAGAAAAGAGAUAAGUAUCAGAUGCCAGCAAGCCACUGAUGACACCAGUAGACAUCAGGAAAACCAAAUCUCUAAGCCACAGUUAUAAGCAAAGAAAAUUUGAAGCCUCUAUUAAAAAAUCAUUCCUUCAACACAUCACUGACCAGGAACGUAAAUGGAUGAGCAGUAAGGACGCAAUGGAUUAAGCUCCUUUACAAGGGAAAGAUUUCUGAACUCCUCAAGCUCUUAUUGUGGGCCUUUAUUC
rnacentral:lncRNA from 1 species